rnacentral:rRNA from 1 species
AUUGAACGCUGGCGGCAGGCCUAACACAUGCAAGUCGAGCGGCAGCGGGAAAGUAGCUUGCUACUUUUGCCGGCGAGCGGCGGACGGGUGAGUAAUGCCUGGGAAAUUGCCCAGUCGAGGGGGAUAACAGUUGGAAACGACUGCUAAUACCGCAUACGCCCUACGGGGGAAAGCAGGGGACCUUCGGGCCUUGCGCGAUUGGAUAUGCCCAGGUGGGAUUAGCUAGUUGGUGAGGUAAUGGCUCACCAAGGCGACGAUCCCUAGCUGGUCUGAGAGGAUGAUAAGCCACCCUGGAACGGGGACACGGGCCAGACUCCGACGGGAGGCAGCAGUGGGGAAUAUUGCACAAUGGGGGAAACCCUGAUGCAGCCAUGCCGCGUGUGUGAAGAAGGCCUUCGGGUUGUAAAGCACUUUCAGCGAGGAGGAAAGGUUGAUGCCUAAUACGUAUCAACUGUGACGUUACUCGCAGAAGAAGCACCGGCUAACUCCGUGCCAGCCGCCGCCGUAACAC